UGCGGCUGUAGUUUAGUUGGUUAGAAUGCCUGCCUGUCACGCAGGAGGUCGCGAGUUCGAGUCUCGUCAGCCGCGCC
rnacentral:tRNA from 1 species